rnacentral:rRNA from 1 species
ACUAAGCGUACACGGUGGAUGCCCUGGCAGUCAGAGGCGAUGAAGGACGUGCUAAUCUGCGAAAAGCGCCGGCGAGGUGAUAUGAACCUUUGACCCGGCGAUGUCCGAAUGGGGAAACCCAGUGCAAUCCGUUGCACUAUCGUUAACUGAAUACAUAGGUUAACGAGGCGAACCGGGGGAACUGAAACAUCUAAGUACCCCGAGGAAAAGAAAUCAACCGAGAUUCCCCCAGUAGCGGCGAGCGAACGGGGAGCAGCCCGGAGUCUGAAUCAGCUUGUGUGUUAGUGGAACGGUCUGGAAAGUCCGACGGUACAGGGUGAUAGUCCCGUACACGAAAGCACACAUGCUGUGAACUCGAAGAGUAGGGCGGGACACGUGGUAUCCUGUCUGAAUAUGGGGGGACCAUCCUCCAAGGCUAAAUACUCCUGACUGACCGAUAGUGAACCAGUACCGUGAGGGAAAGGCGAAAAGAACCCCGGCGAGGGGAGUGAAAAAGAACCUGAAACCGUGUACGUACAAGCAGUGGGAGCCUCUUUAUGGGGUGACUGCGUACCUUUUGUAUAAUGGGUCAGCGACUUAUAUUCUGUAGCAAGGUUAACCGUAUAGGGGAGCCGAAGGGAAACCGAGUCUUAACUGGGCGUUAAGUUGCAGGGUAUAGACCCGAAACCCGGUGAUCUAGCCAUGGGCAGGUUGAAGGUUGGGUAACACUAACUGGAGGACCGAACCGACUAAUGUUGAAAAAUUAGCGGAUGACCUGUGGCUGGGGGUGAAAGGCCAAUCAAACCGGGAGAUAGCUGGUUCUCCCCGAAAGCUAUUUAGGUAGCGCCUCGUGAACUCAUCUUCGGGGGUAGAGCACUGUUUCGGCUAGGGGGCCAUCCCGGCUUACCAACCCGAUGCAAACUACGAAUACCGAAGAAUGUUAUCACGGGAGACACACGGCGGGUGCUAACGUCCGUCGUGAAGAGGGAAACAACCCAGACCGCCAGCUAAGGUCCCAAAGUCAUGGUUAAGUGGGAAACGAUGUGGGAAGGCACAGACAGCCAGGAUGUUGGCUUAGAAGCAGCCAUCAUUUAAAGAAAGCGUAAUAGCUCACUGGUCGAGUCGGCCUGCGCGGAAGAUGUAACGGGGCUAAACCAUGCACCGAAGCUGCGGCAGCGACGCUUAUGCGUUGUUGGGUAGGGGAGCGUUCUGUAAGCCGUUGAAGGUGUCCUGUGAGGGGUGCUGGAGGUAUCAGAAGUGCGAAUGCUGACAUAAGUAACGAUAAAGCGGGUGAAAAGCCCGCUCGCCGGAAGACCAAGGGUUCCUGUCCAACGUUAAUCGGGGCAGGGUGAGUCGACCCCUAAGGCGAGGCCGAAAGGCGUAGUCGAUGGGAAACAGGUUAAUAUUCCUGUACUUGGUGUUACUGCGAAGGGGGGACGGAGAAGGCUAUGUCAGCCGGGCGACGGUUGUCCCGGUUUAAGCAUGUAGGCGGAGGUUCCAGGUAAAUCCGGUACCUUAUUAACGCUGAGGUGUGAUGACGAGGCACUACGGUGCUGAAGUGAUAAAUGCCCUGCUUCCAGGAAAAGCCUCUAAGCAUCAGGUAACACGAAAUCGUACCCCAAACCGACACAGGUGGUCAGGUAGAGAAUACCAAGGCGCUUGAGAGAACUCGGGUGAAGGAACUAGGCAAAAUGGUGCCGUAACUUCGGGAGAAGGCACGCUGAUAUGUAGGUGAAGUCCCUGCGGACGGAGCUGAAAUCAGUCGAAGAUACCAGCUGGCUGCAACUGUUUAUUAAAAACACAGCACUGUGCAAACACGAAAGUGGACGUAUACGGUGUGACGCCUGCCCGGUGCCGGAAGGUUAAUUGAUGGGGUUAGCGGCAACGCGAAGCUCUUGAUCGAAGCCCCGGUAAACGGCGGCCGUAACUAUAACGGUCCUAAGGUAGCGAAAUUCCUUGUCGGGUAAGUUCCGACCUGCACGAAUGGCGUAAUGAUGGCCAGGCUGUCUCCACCCGAGACUCAGUGAAAUUGAACUCGCUGUGAAGAUGCAGUGUACCCGCGGCAAGACGGAAAGACCCCGUGAACCUUUACUAUAGCUUGACACUGAACACUGGUCCUUGAUGUGUAGGAUAGGUGGGAGGCUUUGAAGCGUGGACGCCAGUCUGCGUGGAGCCAACCUUGAAAUACCACCCUUUAAUGGCUGGUGUUCUAACGUAGACCCGUAAUCCGGGUUGCGGACAGUGUCUGGUGGGUAGUUUGACUGGGGCGGUCUCCUCCCAAAGAGUAACGGAGGAGCACGAAGGUUGGCUAAUCCUGGUCGGACAUCAGGAGGUUAGUGCAAUGGCAUAAGCCAGCUUGACUGCGAGCGUGACGGCGCGAGCAGGUGCGAAAGCAGGUCAUAGUGAUCCGGUGGUUCUGAAUGGAAGGGCCAUCGCUCAACGGAUAAAAGGUACUCCGGGGAUAACAGGCUGAUACCGCCCAAGAGUUCAUAUCGACGGCGGUGUUUGGCACCUCGAUGUCGGCUCAUCACAUCCUGGGGCUGAAGUAGGUCCCAAGGGUAUGGCUGUUCGCCAUUUAAAGUGGUACGCGAGCUGGGUUUAGAACGUCGUGAGACAGUUCGGUCCCUAUCUGCCGUGGGCGCUGGAGAAUUGAGGGGGGCUGCUCCUAGUACGAGAGGACCGGAGUGGACGCAUCACUGGUGUUCGGGUUGUCAUGCCAAUGGCACUGCCCGGUAGCUAAAUGCGGAAAAGAUAAGUGCUGAAAGCAUCUAAGCACGAAACUUGCCCCGAGAUGAGUUCUCCCUGAGACUUUAAGUCUCCUGAAGGAACGUUGAAGACGACGACGUUGAUAGGUCGGGUGUGUAAGCGCAGCGAUGCGUUGAGCUAACCGAUACUAAUGAACCGUGAGGCUUAACC